rnacentral:rRNA from 1 species
AGAUUGAACGCUGGCGGCAUGCCUUACACAUGCAAGUCGAACGGCAGCACGGGAGCAAUCCUGGUGGCGAGUGGCGAACGGGUGAGUAAUAUAUCGGAACGUGCCCAGUCGUGGGGGAUAACGCAGCGAAAGCUGUGCUAAUACCGCAUACGAUCUCUGGAUGAAAGCGGGGGACUCGCAAGGGCCUCGCGCGAUUGGAGCGGCCGAUAUCAGAUUAGGUAGUUGGUGGGGUAAAGGCCCACCAAGCCGACGAUCUGUAGCUGGUCUGAGAGGACGACCAGCCACACUGGAACUGAGACACGGUCCAGACUCCGUACGGGAGGCAGCGAGGUGGGGUAAUUUUUGGAAC